UACAACUUCAAACACUUCCCAUCAAGUUAGUAGUAAACCCUUGGAAGCAAGAUUAGGGAAGAGUUCUCGAAAGAGAAGGAGUUCUAGCGCCCAAAAUAUGAAUAAUGAUUAUUCGGCAGCCGAAUCAAAAUCUUGACCGUCUAAUUACUGUUCGUCUAGCAGGACUUAAGGUGAUUCGAUAGUGGUUAAAAGUUAGUACAUGAUAUAGUAUUAUAUUUCUUUAAAUUUUAUUGAUGCAAAUUAGGAUAUUGCUAAAAUACGUAUACUAGUAUUAAUUAAUAAACGGUGAAAUGAUGAAUAUGAUGUUGAAAUGAUAUGCUAAUACAUGACAUGAUAGUAAAAGGUUAUGUUUGAUAUUUGAUAUGUUGAAAUAUGGUGAAAUAAUGAAUAUGAUGUGAAAAUGAUAUGCUAAUACAUGAUAUAAUAUUAAAUUAAUAUGUCAAAAUUUGAUAUGGUUAUAUGUUGAAAUAUGUUUGUGGGUUAUAACGAUGAGUAUGGGUAGUAAUCUGUAAGUUGAAUUAGUUGAAAGAGCUUAAGCCAUAUCGGUUGCAAGUUGCAUAGUCCUUCUAGAUGACUUUGCAACACAUGGUUUAAGUACACACAUAUGUACACAAAUUGGAGUGAUGUUGGCUUUAUGUUGUGGCUAGAUCAAACAAUGUGUAGGAUUUGGGAGGUGUGUCCUUAGGAUUGACAUUGUUGAACCAAUCCUGAACGACGUCGCAAGUUAUAAUACUUUGCAAGUCGGAGUAGCGAAAGUGGAAGUCUUGGAGUUAAUAAUUCAGGUAGGAGUCAUGACUUACUUAGAACAUGAGUCAUGACUUACUUAGAACAUUUACUGGCCAAACACAUGAGUAGUGAAAAGGGUAGAGCCUUGGGUUAAAAUAUUGUUAAGAAACCCAAAUUUAAUAAUCGUUUGAAAUAGUCAAAAUGAUAGUUAAAUGAUGAUUAUGUGUAUUGAUUGGAUGAUAAUGAUAAAUAGUUAAAAUCAUAAUAAUUUGAAUGAAUGAUCCUAGAAGAAAUUGCAUAUUUUGUUAUGUACAACUUUAUCGGCUCAUGAAGCAUAUGCUAACACUUAUUCUUUUGCUAUGUGCCUUAUGAUUGAUGCUGGUAGCUUAGAAGUUUGGCUUGGUGAGGUUGUGAAACUAUAUGGGUAGUUUCAUUUGAAUAAAUAUACCAUAUGAACAUGUUUGAUUUAAUUAUUUAAUAUUAUGAAUCGAUUGGUAAUGUUGUGGUUUAUUUAGAAAUGUUUUUAAAACAUAAAAAGUCUUCUGCUAUAUUUAUGAUUAAAAUGGUUUUAAAGUUGCGAAAUUUUUUAAAAAAAAAUCACGACGUUACAAUAUCACUAAGAGUCAUGAAUUGCCAUUUCAUCAAAAUACUCUCAUAGUCUGGUCAUGAGUUUCCGCCCUCUUGAAUUACUAAUGUAUGGUGCACUAAACAAACAUCAUCUUAUGGUUACAUGUAUUAUGUGAUCAUUGUGGAUUACUCCUCCUAAUACAUGGUUAUAUCCUUUAAAACGCAAAUAAGAUAAUUCCAUUAUAUUUUCCAUAUUGUAAUGUUAUUUGAGAAGCAAUUUAACUAGAAAAUCAUAUCAUUAUUUUUUUACAAUGGUGGUGAAUUUCUCAAAUUGAUUAUGCACCUCAACUUAGAAUGUAUCUCUCACCUAACCUCCCUACCUCACACAUCCAAGCAUAAUGGGACAGUUGAGCGACAUCAUUGACAUGUUGAAAAUGGUCUUUCAUUGGUACAUAAUGCCUCUAUAUCUCUAUAUUGUUGGCCUCGUGCCUUUCAAAACUUUGUUUAUUUAAUUAAUCGUCUACCCACCCCAUUACUAAAACAUCUCUCUCAAUACUCGAUUAUAUUUAAUCAAGAACCCAACUAUCAAAAACUUUGUCCCUUUGGGGUAUUUAUGAUUUUCAUGUUUACGUCCUUAUACAUAUCAUAAAUUACAACCUUGAUAAACUUCAUGCAUUUUUAUUAGUUAUUCGUGUAACGACCAGAAAAACGUUACUUCCUCAGUGAGAGGCUAAAGGAAAAUGGAAUUUACAAAUGUAGGAAAUGAAGAACCAACAAGUACAUUACCAUUAAGCAUAAGUCAACAAAAGUAAACCAACACACAAAUAUGGUGUGUGAGCUUGGCCACGACGCAUGGAUUAAAGGGGUGCAGGACGUUGGGCUUCGUCUGGGUUGCAAGGCAUGUGGCAAACACUUAGGACACAUGGCCAGGAAGGCGACAUGUAGUGCGACGUAGGGCUGACACAUAACAAGGACGCAACACAUCCUUAUGGAGGGCAUGACGCGUAGGCAUAUUUCCAACACUAUAAAUAGUUGGCACCCGUCUUUCAUUGCAUGUUUUCCCGAAGAUUGCUCGGAGGGCUAAGCAAUGAUGUGUAGUUUACGGAAGUGAGUGCUAACGCCGAUACAUGAGUAAUUGAUUACGAAGCAAGAUAAGGUGAGUGCAAGGAAGUGGAUCGUGGAUAUUAUGUAGGCCUCGUGACGAGCUAAAGGUUAUUAAAAGGAAUGUCCAAGAUUAUUAACUAUUGGUAAUAUUUCCAAUAAUAACAUGGUCAUUUUGGGUUGUCCUCAUGACCCAUUUGAGAAAUAAAGAAUUAGGAGAAAAUAAGCUUAUUAAUUUAUUAUGAACUAAUAAAUUAAUUGUAAAUUAUUUUGUAUUUAAUUAAAUAGUUUUAAUUAAUUAAAAAUGUUGAAUAUUAAUUAAUUAAUUGUUAAUUAAUUGGAAUUAUCUAGAAUCCUCCAAGAAGUGAUAGGGGUGAAAUUCUUAAAAGAUAAGGGUUAUCCUUAGGUUUUGGAAUAAUUUGAUGAUUAAUUAAUUGAUUGAAAUUUAUAUUGUAAUUAAUUAAAUAGUUUUGAUUAAUUAAAAGUGUUUAAUAUUAAUUAAUUAAUUAAUUGAAAUGUUCCAGAAUCCUCCAGGAAGUGAUAUGAUAGGGGAUGAAAAUCGUAAAGGAGAAGGGUUAUCCUUAGGUUUUUGAAUGACUUAAGGAUUGAGAAAUAUGCUAUAAAAAGGAUUCUAAGGAUCAAACCCUAAUACUCCUUGACUCUCUUGAAAUCGUCCCCUUGAUCUCUCUCUUUUCUCUUUGGACAAAAAUUAUAACCUUCCUAGGGUUAUAGAAUUUUCAAAAAAAAUUCAUUCCUCCUCCUAGGGUUUUCCUAUUUUCUCUUUUGGUGUCUUAGGUGCGAAGAAAAAGAUGGAUUUCUACUAUUGAGUUCUCUCAUCCAAGCAAAGUGGUUGUUACGAGAUCCCAAUCUAGGAAUCAACAAGAAGAUCAAGAUCAAGAGAUGUCGAACCCGAAGAACAACAACAACAACCUUCCUCCUCCUCCUCCACAACCAUCACCACCACCUCACUCGAACUUCUCACUUUUGUCGGUUCUUUCUAGGGAGAAACUCACUGGACCAACUACAUACAUUAGAUCCGCACCUUAAGGAUCACCUUGAGGUAUGAGAACAAAGAGUUUGUUCUCGAUGGUGAACUCCCUAAAAUCACUAAAGAAUUUACUGACGAAUAAAUUGUUGCUUACAAUAAACACUACGAUGAGUCGACUAAGGUUGCUUGCCUUAUGUUGACAACCAUGUCCUCUGAGCUCCAAAAUGGCUUUGAGAACUAGGGUGCAUGCAUCAUAAAUUAUCAACUCAAGGAUAUGUUUCAAGAGCAAGCUAGGUUAGAACGAUUUGAGAUCGUUAAGUCCCUAAUGUCGUGUAAAUGUCAAGAGGGAGAUUUUAUAUGUAUGCACGUUCAGAAAAUGAAUUCGUACAUAAACAGACCGGAUCUCUCACCCCUUAGCUAAAUGGAGUAAAAUUACCUUCUACCAAAGUAUAUUGUUAUUUUUGAGCACCUCAAAGAUAUAUUCCUUCA